rnacentral:rRNA from 1 species
UGGGGGAUAUUGCGCAAUGGGGAAACCCUGACGCAGCAACGCCGCGUGAAGGAAGAAGGUCUUCGGAUUGUAAACUUCUUUUGUCAGGGACGAAGAAAGUGACGGUACCUGACGAAUAAGCUCCGGCUAACUACGUGCCAGCAGCCGCGGUAAUACGUAGGGAGCGAGCGUUGUCCGGAUUUACUGGGUGUAAAGGGUGCGUAGGCGGCCGAGCAAGUCAGUUGUGAAAACUAUGGGCUUAACCCAUAACGUGCAAUUGAAACUGUCCGGCUUGAGUGAAGUAGAGGUAGGCGGAAUUCCCGGUGUAGCGGUGAAAUGCGUAGAGAUCGGGAGGAACACCAGUGGCGAAGGCGGCCUACUGGGCUUUAACUGACGCUGAGGCACGAAAGCAUGGGUAGCAAACAGGAUUAGAUACCCUGGUAGUCCAUGCCGUAAACGAUGAUUACUAGGUGUGGGGGGACUGACCCCUUCCGUGCCGCAGUUAACACAAUAAGUAAUCCACCUGGGGAGUACGGCCGCAAGGUUGAAACUCAAAGGAAUUGACGGGGGCCCGCACAAGCAGUGGAGUAUGUGGUUUAAUUCGAAGCAACGCGAAGAACCUUACCAGGUCUUGACAUCCUGAGAAUCCUUAAGAGAUUAGGGAGUGCCUUCGGGAACUCAGAGACAGGUGGUGCAUGGUUGUCGUCAGCUCGUGUCGUGAGAUGUUGGGUUAAGUCCCGCAACGAGCGCAACCCUUGCUAUUAGUUGCUACGCAAGAGCACUCUAAUAGGACUGCCGUUGACAAAACGGAGGAAGGUGGGGACGACGUCAAAUCAUCAUGCCCCUUAUGACCUGGGCUACACACGUACUACAAUGGCCAUUAACAGAGGGAAGCAAAACCGCGAGGCAGAGCAAACCCCUAAAAAUGGUCCCAGUUCGGAUUGUAGGCUGCAACCCGCCUACAUGAAGUUGGAAUUGCUAGUAAUCGCGGAUCAGCAUGCCGCGGUGAAUACGUUCCC